UGCAUAGAGUACGUUGCGAGUGUCGGUAAUCGACGUAUUAUGCGGAGAUUUGCCGUGCGAUGAGAGGAAAACGGGUGUGAUGCCCGUGCUGUCCCGCAGCCGUAAAUAGGGAGUGUUCUUCCACAGGCGCAGAGCCUGUGCCCGUAAAGUCACUGGUGUAAACCGGGAAGGCGGAGGAACGCGCUGAUCUAUGAGCCGGAAAGCCUGCUCGCAAUAGGAUUCAUUG
rnacentral:ncRNA from 2 species